UACGGAGGGCGCUAGCGUUGUUCGGAAUUACUGGGCGUAAAGCGCGCGUAGGCGGCUUUGUAAGUUAGAGGUGAAAGCCCGGGGCUCAACCCCGGAACUGCCUUUAAAACUGCAUCGCUUGAAUCCAGGAGAGGUGAGUGGAAUUCCGAGUGUAGAGGUGAAAUUCGUAGAUAUUCGGAGGAACACCAGUGGCGAAGGCGGCUCACUGGUCCGGUACUGACGCUGAGGUGCGAAAGCGUGGGGAGCAAACAGG
rnacentral:rRNA from 1 species